ensembl:lncRNA
GGGUUAGGGUUAGGGUUAGGGUUAGGGUUAGGGUUAGGGUUGUGGUUGAGGUUUAGGGUUUGGGUUAGGGUUGUGGUUGGAGUUGUAGUUGUGGUUGAGGGUUAGGGUUAGGGUUAGGGUUGUGGUUGAGGUUUAGGGUUAGGGUUAGGGUUGUGGUUUAGGUUUAGGGUUAGGGUUGUUGUGGUUGUGGUUGUGGUUGAGGUUUAGGGUUAGGGUUAGGGUUGUGGUUGUAGUUGUGGUUGAGGGUUAGGGUUAGGGUUAGGGUUAGGGUUAGGGUUAGGGUUGUGGUUAUAGUUGUAGUUUAGUUGUGGUUGAGGUUGAGGGUUAGGGUUAGGGUUAGGGUUGAGGCUAGGGUUAGUGAUGUGGUUGAGGCUAGGGUUAGGGUUAGGGUUGAGGCUAGGGUCAGGAUUAGGGUUGAGGGUUAGGGUUAGGGUUGAGGCUAGAGUUAGGUUUAGGGUUGAGGCUAGGGUUAGUGAUGUGGUUGAGGCUAGGGUUAGGAUUAGGGUUAGGGUUAGGGUUAGGGUUAGGGUUGAGGCUAGGGUUAGGGUUAGGGUUGAGGCUAGGGUUAGAGUUAGGGUUGCGGCUAGGGUUAGUGAUGUGGUUGAGGCUAGGGUUAGGGUUGGGGAUAGGGUUAGGGUUAGGGUUGAGGCUAGGGUUAGGGUUGAGGCUAGGGUUAGUGAUGUGGUUGAGGCUAGGGUUAGGGUUAGGGUUAGGGUUGAGGCUAGGGCUAGGGCUAGGGUUAGGGUUGGGGUUAGGGUUAGGGUUGAGGCUAGGGUUAGGGUUGAGACUAGGGUUAGGUUUGUGGUUGAGGCUAGGGUUAGGUUUGUGGUGGAGGCUAGGGUUAGGGUUAGGGUUGUGGUUUAGGCUAGGGUUAGGGUUGUGGUUGUGGUUGUAGUUGUGGUUUAGGGUUCGGGUUAGGGUUGUGGUUAGGGUUAGGGUUGUAGUUCAGGCUAGGGUUAGGGUUAGGGUUGGGGUUAGGGUUAGGGUUAGGGUUGUGGUUCAGGCUAGGGUUAGGGUUAGGGUUAGGGUUGUGGUUCAGGCUAGGGUUAGGGUUAGGGUUAGGGUUG